ensembl:lncRNA
AUGUUUAUUUUCAGGUCCAUCCACACUCUCUGUAUUUUACUGAUGACAGCAACAGAGGGAUACUCCCUGGACCAGAGGGAGCUUUCAGUCUCACAGACCUCAAAGACGGUGGCCACUAUGAGGUACAAAGGGAGAGCACAGCUGAUCAAGGUUCUCAAGGUCAAAACCCUGCUGCUCGCUUUGCCUUUCGCCGCCCAUCCAGCAGUGCUCUCCCCGUUGCCUCAGGAGCUCUGCCUGCUCCCAGAGCUGUGGGUCCAAAGCUAAACACAAGUCAACAUGAGGACACAGACCUUCCCUUGGUCGUUGACCAAAUAGAGGAGGUCAUCCUCGCUUCUCAGGGUCUAAAAGAUGUAUCCAAGACGCUCCAAGACCUUGCAAAUUUUGCACAGGCAAACCGAAGGACAUCAAUAAGCCUGAGUAACAGCCAGGCGGCAGCUGUGAAGGCAGCAUUUGCCUGUAUCAUAUGUGGAGAUCCUAUGAAGGAGCCCAUAUUUGCCAGCUGCUGCAGAACCAUCCUGGGCUGCAGCAGCUGUGUGGAGCAAUGGCAGGUUAGCCACACCUACUGCCCUAAUUGCAGAGGUGGAGACUUUUACGGAGGCAACACGCAGCCAGUGGUGGGGCUGGACGAGGCACAUUUGUUCACCAAAUGUUCAUGUUUUGUUAGGUAUCAAUGUACUUUUCAUUUUUAUGUUUUAUUCUAUUUUAAAUUAAUUAUAACUAUUAUUAUGUGUUAAAAUGUUAUGUUAAAUGGUUAUUUGCCCAUUAAAUUGUAGUUCUUUCUGAAAAUCGUUCUAUUGUCAUUAAUUUUACAUACUAUUUUGUUUGGUUAUAAAAUAGUGAUUCACAUGUAGAUGGACAAAUGUAAAAUAUUUAGCAGCUGUCCGGUUAUGACAGUUCUAUAAAUCCCUCUCAAGCACUCCACUGUGAAAACGGCAGAUAAACACAUACAUUAUUAACAGCAUCAUUUAGAACAUUUACAGUUAAUCACACUUAACACUGAACAGUAUACACCGGCAGUCACACAUCCAUCAAAACAUUUCACACAUUCCUCUCCGGGGCAUUCAGCAGGCAGAAAAGGGCUUCAUGAAAUGCACUAUGGUCAUUGUUGACCACAUUGUCAAAAAUGACAGAGGGAUCAGGGUAGGUCACCGCAAAGUCCCUUUCUGCCUCAGUGUGAAAGGGGUCCACACCAAAGGCUGCCUCCCUGCUGUGAGAGCUUUCAAACUCCUGCUCAUAUCUGUCAGCAGCAACAGAAGCACUGGGUAGCAGGUCCUCCGAUAUCUGUGCUGGACAUCCUGCUGCAGCUAGUUCAUUAGGUAUUCCUCUACCUUGUAAAGGAAACAUUUUAAGCCAAAGUAAAAAAAAAUUAUAGCACAUUUCACAUUUCAAGACAUUUGAAAAUAAAAUAUAUAAUGGUUAAGAGAAUAGCAAAUAAAAAUAGGAUUUAAAAAUAUUAGUAGUACGUUUAUUUUGGGCCGAUAUGAUUCAUUCACAAUUUAUUUUUAGCAUACCUGGAAUCCUAUGUGCAUUCCAUGUCUGCACAACCCUGUCUAGCCCAAUCUGGCUGAGUUGGCACGUCAGGUUAGACACACAGAACUUCACUGUGUUGUCCUGCAUGUCUAUGGCCUCUUGGUCAGUCAGGUGCACCAGGGCUUGCUUCAGCUUCUCAUUUUGAUCUAUGUGCAGUUUAUGGCCCAUAUAUUCUGCAUGGUAGGGAAUGGGGUUCAGAUUACGAGCACCCUUUGAAAGGAAGAGAAGUAUAAUUAAAAUUAUUCUUGCUCCUGUGUUCCAUGAAUAUUAACUUUCGCUGUUCACUUACUCUAAGUUACUUACAUGUCUUCGCAAAUCGUGGUAUGGCUGAUGAACGUCUCGUAAGAC